GACGAACGCUGGCGGCGUGCUUAACACAUGCAAGUCGAACGGAAAGGCCCUGCUUUUGUGGGGUGCUCGAUUGGCGAACGGGUGAGUAACACGUGAGUAACCUGCCCUUGACUUUGGGAUAACUUCAGGAAACUGGGGCUAAUACCGGAUAGGAUCUCCUGCUGCAUGGUGGGGGUUGGAAAGUUUCGGCGGUUGGGGAUGGACUCGCGGCUUAUCAGCUUGUUGGUGGGGUAGUGGCUUACCAAGGCUUUGACGGGUAGCCGGCCUGAGAGGGUGACCGGCCACAUUGGGACUGAGAUACGGCCCAGACUCCUACGGGAGGCAGCAGUGGGGAAUAUUGCACAAUGGGCGGAAGCCUGAUGCAGCAACGCCGCGUGCGGGAUGACGGCCUUCGGGUUGUAAACCGCUUUCGCCUGUGACGAAGCGUGAGUGACGGUAAUGGGUAAAGAAGCACCGGCUAACUACGUG
rnacentral:rRNA from 1 species